UACGGGGGGAGCAAGCGUUGUUCGGAUUUACUGGGCGUAAAGGGCGCGUAGGCGGCGCAACAAGUCACUUGUGAAAUCUCCGGGCUUAACCCGGAGCGGCCAAGUGAUACUGUCGUGCUAGAGUGCGGAAGGGGCUACUGGAAUUCUCGGUGUAGCGGUGAAAUGCGUAGAUAUCGAGAGGAACACCUGCGGCGAAGGCGGGUAGCUGGGCCGACACUGACGCUGAGGCGCGAAAGCCAGGGGGAGCGAACGGG
rnacentral:rRNA from 1 species